rnacentral:rRNA from 1 species
GACGAACGCUGGCGGCGUGCUUAACACAUGCAAGUCGAACGAUGAACCCGGAGCUUGCUCUGGGGGAUUAGUGGCGAACGGGUGAGUAACACGUGAGUAACCUGCCCUGGACUCUGGGAUAAGCGUUGGAAACGACGUCUAAUACCGGAUAGGACCUUGGAUCGCAUGAUCUGGGGUGGAAAGUUUUUUCGGUCUGGGAUGGACUCGCGGCCUAUCAGCUUGUUGGUGAGGUAAUGGCUCACCAAGGCGUCGACGGGUAGCCGGCCUGAGAGGGUGACCGGCCACACUGGGACUGAGACACGGCCCAGACUCCUACGGGAGGCAGCAGUGGGGAAUAUGGCACAAUGGGCGAAAGCCUGAUGCAGCAACGCCGCGUGCGGGAUGACGGCCUUCGGGUUGUAAACCGCUUUUAGUAGGGAAGAAGGGCUUCGGCUUGACGGUACCUGCAGAAAAAGGACCGGCUAACUACGUG